GGAGUCCCUCUGAUGACACCACGAAUCUGGGAAUGAAGAACUUCUUAGAGCUGAUUGGAAAUGGCAUUGCGGAGCUGAAACUUAACUGGAGGAAAUAUAUCUCCUGAAGAAGAACAUAUAAUGCACUGUAAGGAUCUGACUUCUGGUGAAAAAUUCAAGCCUAGAGAAAACUUGUCCGCUUUGUUAGGAAGAAUGGGUUGGACAAUUUUCUUCAAUUCCAAAGGAUAUCUGAAUGCCAUGCUGAGCUUAAUCUCUGCAGCAUGCUCUGUGCUUCUCAUCUCUUCCUGAUGCACUGCAUGGUUAUCCUGAAGGGGAGGAUAAAGAAACUGGCCACCAAGAUGGUAAUCACUAGUGGAAAUGAAGAAGAUAAAGGCAGUCAAGAAAAGGAAAGCAAAGAAGAAACCAUCUUGGCAAUGCUUGGAAUUAUUGGGACAAUUCUGAACCUCAUUGUGAUCAUUUUUGUGUAUAUUUACACAACGUUGUAAACUAGGAGGCAUGAAAAUAGACCAGAUAAAACGACCAUUAAGAGUGACGACAAACAUUGCUGACUAUUGACAAGUUGUUUAAUCAGAAUUGACUCUGUAUUAUAUUAACACAUCAUAAAAGCACUGCCUGCAGGCAGCAAAGGCUGAAGCACAAUUAAUUUAACAAGACUUUUUCACACAGUAACAAGCUUAACUCUUCUGUCCUGCUCUCUUCCUUUCAGUUUGGUUUUAAGUUUUGGGGAAAAUUACUGCAAUGAUGUAUGUUGUAGCUUUGAAGAAAACCACCAGGGAUAUGUUGUUUUAACACAAUUUAAAAAAAAAAAAAGAGAAGAAAGAAACUGUACACUAUAUACAAAUAGAAAUGUAUACUCUAUACCUACAAAGAUUGAACUCAAAGAUAGCUUCAUAGCACAGAUCACGUGUCCGUUAGGUCAAAUGAUUUUUUUCUCUUGGUUUUGCUUUUACUUACAUUGAAUUUGACAAGCUUUUUAUUUAGAAUGAACAUAUGGUGCAAUCAUGAAAAAAACAAUUCCAUUGAGCAAGGUCUGCCUAAACCUGAUAAAAUGUUGGGAGAAAUACAUUACAUGGUUAUUUUUCCUCUCUCAUUUGCUUAACAUCUGUGUCUGUUCAUACUAAUGUUUAUAAAUAUAUAUUUUUAAUAAAUGUGCUAUAUUUUUAGCAUGAACCAAA